AAACUAAAUCAGAAAAGCCAGCAAAAAAGUAAUUUAAAACUACCUCCCAGCAAAGAGCUUUCUCAAAUUAUAAAACAGAGCAUAGUGAAGAAAAAAGCACUUUAUAGCUGAUGCCCUUUUACUCCAGGUAAACAUCAGGCAGCCAGCUACACACCUUCCUUGGGUCUUUUGCAGGCCACAGGCAAAACUUGCAGGGACAAACCAAAAUGCAAACCAGAUGCAAGCAAUCAGCAGCUUCUCUAUCUCCAAAGCCCACAGUGGGACCCAUUCCUUUUGAGAGAUCUGUGCUUCUCCAUACUUAACAAACAGGAAGAAGAUGCAAAGCAUGCUGCUGGAACAGCUCUUUUGUGGGCUCAGCUGCAGGUCUUACUCCUUCAGACUCCUCCUGUCAUUUUAUUUUAUGUCUUAUCACUGGUCUCAGCCAGCUCAAGUACUUCAAGCCAAAAGCAUCUAACUUCCCCUUUCUCUGAGCUGAAGUGAAGGGGCUUUGUCUCUGCAAUUUGGAAUGGAUUUUCUCCAGCGUUCCAGCAUUUCUCUAACUGCAUUUGAGAAAGCCACCAGUAAUAGUUUCAAGUUUGUUGACCAGUAAAUCUGACCAAUGUUUGGAGUGUGCAUAAUAAUGACUUACAACUCUCAGCUCCACAACCACAUACGUUCUUGUUGCUUUCGUUAGUAGCAUGUUUCUGAAUUUGAAUUAUCAUCUCAGCACUCCUGACAGCAACGAAGUGGAUUAAAAUGAAGAGAAUGGGGAAUUGCAGCUUUAAGAUGCAGUUUUACACCUGGAUGUUUCCAGGGGGUCAGACACAGAACAUGGGAAGAACAACAAACUCCUCAAAUAGUUGAUGGUUGCCGGAGGGACGGUCCCAUGCCUUGUGUCUUUUCUGAGGCUAACCACGCUGGCGUUACUUCAUCUUUCCCAUCAGAAGCAUGAACCACAAAACAGUGCAUAAAAGAAAGUAAUACCUAUGUAGUUAAAAGGCUCUGAAACUCAUAGGAUAUGAAUGAGCAGCCAAUUAUUCUGUGAAUAAUUAGCAGCUAAGUUGGAACACGUUCAGGACUAUGCUAAGAAGGGAGCAGGAAUGCCACCAACAUGAAAAACAUGGCAAAAAUGCUGGCUUCCUAGAAGAAAUGGAAGGAUGGGCUGACCAUGAAUUCAAUGAUGUUCAAAUCCAAGCAGAGCCAGCAAAUUCCCAAGCUUUGCUCUGCAGUUGCUGAUUUGUGGAGGAGAUAAGAGGAAGUUGGAAAACUACCAUCAUCACAUCUUUCUAGAGAGAAAGUGAGGCUCCUUCUGAAGAGGGGAGAGUAAUUUACAUCAGUCUCAUGAAUGACUUGGAAAGUAACCCCCAGAGCAACGACUCCUGGCUACUCACAACUAUGGUCAUGACAGUUCUCACUGGAGCUGAUCUUUCUGCAGUGGAAACAGCAAAAAAGACACAGACAGCAUCUGCAUGGCCACAACUACCUUUUGACCUUCCCUAGGCAGAGUGAUGCUCAGCUGCUAAGUCGAUACAGCAAGCACGGCGGGAAACAUAACGACUCCGGCAGGGCCUGGAGUUCAAGACCAAGACCUCAGAGUUUGAGGCUAGAGGUGUGAAAAAGAUAGGAACCACACCAGGGAAAGAUUUUGAGAUGUUAAGUACCAGAGUUUAUUUCAUCUGAAAAGAGAAAAACCUAUGAUUCACUGGAUGACUUUUCUCAACAUUUUGUGGAUUGAAGUUUGCAGAUGAUAGAGAGACGUCUUUUCAAAAUGCUUCACUCAAAAGGAGAAUAUUUCAUUCUGAAAAUAUGAGUAGAAUACAUGACACAGGAUAAGCAUGAAAUUCUUCCUCUAUAACAUUUCUGCAACAUUGACAUCAUUUCACAAAACAUUUCAAGUUUGCCUAUCCUCUUUUUUCCAAUCAAAAGUGUUUCUAGAACACUUUUCUCACAGGCAGCCUUGCCUGCCUGUGUAGCUGAUGCACUCUGUAGUGCCCUUGGUGACUUCACUUGGCUCCCGCUAAGAAGAAAAGUACUGAAUGAGGCAGUGCACCUGGAUUUUAGCUUUGCUCAGCCAGGAGGGUCUGAAAACAGCUGGAAAUACUCACAAUGCUUAAAAAGUAACUCAGAAUCCCAGUGGUUUCUGAAAUACACAGAACUCUGCAGGCAGGAAAAAAAAAAAACAACAAAAAAAAGAGUCUAGCUCUGCAUUGCCAGUCUGUUUCCCCAUUGUUGAUGUUUUAUGUCAGUCUUUGAAAAUCCACUUUCCAGUAAAAUCCAUCAAACUUCUACACAAAGAAAUAUGGCCUGCGCAAAGCAAAUGACACAAAGAACAGAAACUGCUUCCAGGACCUCUGCAGUGUGUGUGGGUGGCAAGGCCUCCAGCAGCUCUGUCCUGAGGAAAGGUUUAGUUGGGGCAAUCAAGAGGUCUAUGGGUACUGUUUGACAACGUUUACACUGGCAGCCAAAAGGGGGGCUGCACUUUGCUUGAUGAAUUUUGUUUGUUGUUUUCAUUUAAAAGAAGAAAAAUCGAUAAAAUAAUGAGCUUAACUAAAUUCUAAAUUACGUAGAUUAAUUACUUCCUAAAGUUAGCUCAAAAUUACAAACAGCUUUUUGAUUAUGUUUUUAUCUGGGUAAAAUUGCAUCAAUUACAUAACUUGCACUUCAGAAAAUAGUUCCCCUUAAGCUAAUUAUAUCUUAAACAGAUUUAUCUGUGAAAUUCACAGCUGCAAAUUAUGUUCACCUGCAGCAUUUUUCACAUGCAGCCAAAGAAAGAAGAAAAUACUUGGGUUCUCACUUCUGUAACAAUUCUUCGUUAUAAAAAUCAUUCUAAGUAAGAAAAUCAGUUUAGUCUUCAAAGAACAAAUCUAAUCCAAAACUAAGGCUUUGUUUUCCAAUUGUCUAAUCCAUCAGUUGCUAAAUUCAACAUAUCCUUCUCUGCUAAGAUAUAGUCACUGUUUAUUACCUGCACGUAUUUCCAUAUUUUUAAUACAGGAUUAAUAUGCUUAACAUUAGUUUAUGCAAUGAGUAGAUAAUCAUAAAGCCGUAAGGAGCUGCACAGAACAUUACUAAGCAAUACAAGAAUAUGCUAUAAUUAAAGUUGUGCUUAUACUUCACCUGCGACUCCCCACUCUCACUCUCUUCAAUAAGAGAUACAAUACAAUA